GUCUUUAUGUUAAAUUUAUAAAGUCUGGCCUGCCCACUGAUUUUUCUUUAAAGGGCCGCGGUAUUUUGACCGUGCAAAGGUAGCAUAAUCAUUAGUCUUUUAAUUGAAGGCUUGUAUGAAUGGUUUGACAAGAAAUAAACUGUCUUCAAUUAAAUUUAUUGAAAUUAACUUUUAAGUAAAAAGGCUUAAAUAGAUUAAAGUGACGAUAAGACCCUAUAAAACUUUAUAAUUAAAAUUGAAAAAAUAUAUUAGUUAAUUAAAGUUUUUUUAAUUUAUAUUAUUUUAUUGGGGCGAUAAAAAUAUAAAAAGUAACUGUUUUUAAUGUUUAAAUGAUAAUUAUCAGUUAAUUAAAUGAUCCUUUAUUAAAGAUUAUAAGAUUAAGUUACUUUAGGGAUAACAGCGUAAUUUUCUUUGAGAGUUCUUAUCUACAAGAAAGAUUGCGACCUCGAUGUUGAAUUAAAAGUUCUCUAAGGUGUAGCAGCUUUAGCAGAAGGUCUGUUCGACCUUUAAAUUUUU
rnacentral:rRNA from 1 species